rnacentral:tRNA from 1 species
GAGGGUAUAGCUCAGUGGUAGAAUGCAUGUGCUUAGCAUGCACAAGACCCUGGGUUCAAUCCCCAGUCCUUCCA